rnacentral:tRNA from 1 species
GGGUUUGUGGCUCAGUGGUAGAGCACUUGCCUAGCAUGCAUGAGGCCCUAGGUUCUAUCCCCAACACCA